rnacentral:tRNA from 1 species
GAGGGUAUAGCUCAGUGGCAGAGCACAUGCUUAGCGUGCAUGAGGUCCUGGGUUCAACUCCCAGUACCUCCC